AAGUCGUAACAAGGUUUCCGUAGGUGAACCUGCGGAAGGAUCAUUAUUACGUAUCCACGUAUCAAAACCAAAUUGUGAACUGUUUCCCAUCUAGUGAGGGUUUCUGCGAGUCUGAAAAUUCAAAAUGCACAGUGAGCAAGAGCCUGAAAAACUCUUGUGAACCAGACUCGGUCCUGAACCAACAAAAAUUCAGGGAAAUUUUGUUUCCUUGUUCUUUUGUUGUUCAGCUCGCUAGGUGUGGUAAUUUUUUUGUUCGCCACUGUGCUGCAAAACUAUUAACCCCUUGUAAACAAUUGAACUAAAUUACUGAGAAGUGUUGGGCUUCGGUUCAGCAAUUUCUCUGGAUAACCGAAAUUUAAGAACAACUCUUAACAACGGAUAUCUUGGUUCUC
rnacentral:misc_RNA from 1 species